UGGGGAAUAUUGCGCAAUGGGGGGAACCCUGACGCAGCCAUGCCGCGUGAAUGAAGAAGGCCUUAGGGUUGUAAAGUUCUUUCGGUAUUGAGGAAGGUUGAUGUGUUAAUAGCACAUCAAAUUGACGUUAAAUACAGAAGAAGCACCGGCUAACUCCGUGCCAGCAGCCGCGGUGAUACGGAGGGUGCGAGCGUUAAUCGGAAUAACUGGGCGUAAAGGGCACGCAGGCGGUUAUUUAAGUGAGGUGUGAAAGCCCCGGGCUUAACCUGGGAAUUGCAUUUCAGACUGGGUAACUAGAGUACUUUAGGGAGGGGUAGAAUUCCACGUGUAGCGGCGAAAUGCGUAGAGAUGUGGAGGAAUACCGAAGGCGAAGGCAGCCCCUUGGGAAUGUACUGACGCUCAUGUGCGAAAGCGUGGGGAGCAAACAGGAUUAGAUACCCUGGUAGUCCACGCUGUAAACGCUGUCGAUUUGGGGGUUGGGGUUUAACUCUGGCGCCCGUAGCUAACGUGAUAAAUCGACCGCCUGGGGAGUACGGCCGCAAGGUUA
rnacentral:rRNA from 1 species